GUGCCAGCCGCGGCGGUAAGACGUAGGGCGCGAGCGUUGUCCGGAUUUAUUGGGCGUAAAGGGCUCGUAGGCGGCUCGUCGCGUCUGCCGUGAAAGGCCUCGGCUUAACUGGGGUUUUGCGGUGGAUACGGGCGGGCUUGAGGCAAUUAGGGGAGAUCGGAAUUCUACGUGUAGCGGUGAAAUGCGCAGAUAUGUGGAGAACACCGGUGGCGAAGGCGGAUCUCUGGGAUUGUUCUGACGCUGAGGAGCGAAAGCGUGGGA
rnacentral:rRNA from 1 species